GUGGGUGUUCGACCAGAGAAGAGAAAGAAGGGGGGAAACCCCUUCUCAAACCCUAAUCGACCAAAUUGGAUGGAUUCUGGCUGAAAUCGAACUUGCAUGAACAAGAUUCUUGAUUGUUCAACUCUGUAAAACACAUGGAAUCCCAAUUGACAUGGACUCAAGAAUGGAAGGCUAACGGAUCAAGGGUAAAUAAAGAAGCUAUGCACAACUCGGACGCACGAUGUAUAUGAACACCGGGUUCUUGAAGUAUCGAAGUCGAACUCUGAAUAAGAAAAUACGAGAGGAUAGUUAAAUAAAUCAAAGUUUCAUUGUUAAAUGUUAUUCACUAUUAGAUUAUAUGAGAAUCAUGUUGUACAACGUUGUUAAUGACUAAUGGUUAAGUUGUAUGUGAUGUUCACAGGUAUUGCACGUAUCUCUACCACUACUAUCGAAGAUAAGCAUGCAUUGAUCGAGCCCCAAAUUAAAGAUUGUACGGGAAGAACAGCCACAUAUUCUGAUUUAUGUAUUGUCUUGAAGCGUUACUUUAAUGUGGUUAUUGUUAAUCCCUUUUUUGUAAAUGUUUAUCAUGUGUAUUUGAGCUUUUAAAUAAGUAAUGGGUCUAAAUAAGAAAGAAAAAUUUUGGGCUCAUAUUUUCCGCUGCGUCAUGUUUAAGUUCUUACAGGGAAUUGUUCAUUAUACGAACGGGUCAUGCCCAAAUUUUGUAAAUAAUAAUGCUUAUUUGGAAUAAGAAAUAUGGGCGUUAGAAGUUGGUAUCAGAGCCCUGGUUUGAGGGAAAUCAAGUAUGAGGAGGCAAAUACUUGAACUCAAACCUGCGUGC